rnacentral:lncRNA from 1 species
CUUGUCCAUAGUUUGGCUGACCAUUUCCCUGUUGGCUCUCGUGUGAUCGGAAUUUUGUGGAAGCUUACUGUUAUUACUGCCACCCUUGCAAUUUGCACAUGUCUGAUUUACCUCUGGAGAGUUGUCCUUGCUGUACAGCCUCAAGUAUAUCAAGAUCAAUGAAUCAAAGAAAUGUCUUUAAGAAACUAAGAGAAAUUAAGUUUCUUUCUGAUGAAGCUCUUAAAUUAAAGGUAAGAAUCCCUUCUUUGCCUGGAUUGCUUUCUCAAAACAGAAGUGAAAAUAGUGAGUUAUUAUUACUGAUCCAUUGCAUUUUGUUGAAGGAGGACAUCAAAACAGUUGAAUAUUUUAAUGAAAUUUUAAGUGACAGUCUUCAAAGUGCACGUGUUACCUUGCAAUCUGAGAGAGAGAAGAAUGUCAAGAAUAAGGACUUGUCACAAGAUGGAAAUGGUGAAUUCGAGGAUUGAGAGCUGAGAACCUUGAGGUCCAAUAACUGUGAACUGGAAGAAAACAAAAAGGCCUUAGAAGACAAGUGUAAUGCAUUGAGGUCUGUGAAAGCAAUCAAGGAAGCAAAAGUCAAACAGCUGAAGGAGAAAGCACAUAUCCUUGAAGAAUUCUAUAAACAAAGAAGAGUGGCUGCAGAAGA